AUUGAACGCUGGCGGCAUGCCUUACACAUGCAAGUCGAGCGGCAGCGCGGGGGCAACCCUGGCGGCGAGCGGCGAACGGGUGAGUAAUACAUCGGAACGUGUCCUGUCGUGGGGGAUAACCAGUCGAAAGACUGGCUAAUACCGCAUGAGAUCGAAAGAUGAAAGCGGGGGACCGCAAGGCCUCGCGCGAUUGGAGCGGCCGAUGUCGGAUUAGCUAGUUGGCGGGGUAAAAGCCCACCAAGGCGACGAUCCGUAGCUGGUUUGAGAGAACGACCAGCCACACUGGGACUGAGACACGGCCCAGACUCCUACGGGAGGCAGCAGUGGGGAAUUUUGGACAAUGGGGGCAACCCUGAUCCAGCCAUGCCGCGUGUGUGAAGAAGGCCUUCGGGUUGUAAAGCACUUUCGGCCGGAACGAAAUCGCGCGGGCUAUUACCCCGCGUGGAUGACGGUACCGGAAGAAGAAGCACCGGCUAACUACGUGCCAGCAGCCGCCGUAA
rnacentral:rRNA from 1 species